GUGCUCGCUUCUGCAGUACAUAUACUAAAAGUGGAACAAUACAGAGAUUAGUAUGGCCCCUCUGCAAGGAUGACAAGCAAACUUGUGAAGCAUUCCAUAUUUUU